UACGUAGGGUGCAAGCGUUAAUCGGAAUUACUGGGCGUAAAGCGUGCGCAGGCGGCUUUGCAAGACAGAUGUGAAAUCCCCGGGCUUAACCUGGGAACUGCAUUUGUGACUGCAUGGCUAGAGUGCGGCAGGAGGGGGAUGGAAUUCCGCGUGUAGCAGUGAAAUGCGUAGAUAUGCGGAGGAACACCGAUGGCGAAGGCAAUCCCCUGGGCCUUACCUGGACGCUGAGGCGGC
rnacentral:rRNA from 1 species